CAGAACAUAGCUAAAAUUAUAGCAUUUCCCUUACACUGAAAAGUUGCCCGCGCAAGUCGGACUGUUCUGA
rnacentral:tRNA from 1 species